rnacentral:rRNA from 1 species
GCCCUUCGGGGCGCCCGCCGCUUCCAUUAUUUAUCAUGCCGGCAACGGCAAUCACGGGACCUCGAGUGCCAGGUUACAAAUCUGGCUGUCGUGAUGCCUAAAAAGCAUUGCAUAGCAAGGGCCGGGCAAGACCGGUGCCAGCCGCCGCGGUAACACCGGCGGCUCGAGUGGUAACCGUUAUUAUUGGGUCUAAAGGGUCUGUAGCCGGCCGGAUAAGUCUCUUGGGAAAUCCAGCAGCUCAACUGUUGGGCUUUCAGGAGAUACUGUCUGGCUCGAGGCCGGGAGAGGUGAGAGGUACUUCAGGGGUAGGGGUGAAAUCUUGUAAUCCUUGAAGGACCACCAGUGGCGAAGGCGUCUCACCAGAACGGACCUGGCGGCAAGGGACGAAAGCUAGGGGCACGAACCGGAUUAUAUACCCGGGUAGUCCUAGCCGUAAACGAUACUCGCUAGGUGUCGGCCACGGUGCGACCGUUGUCGGUGCCGUAGGGAAGCCGUGAAGCGAGCCACCUGGGAAGUACGGCCGCAAGGCUGAAACUUAAAGGAAUUGGCGGGGGAGCAC